rnacentral:rRNA from 1 species
CGCGCCGCCAUCGCAGUCCCCUCUUCCCAAAGGGUUUGUGCAUGUGCACAAUGCGCGCCCCGCUGGCUGCGGUGGAGCGGUUUGGCGGGGCGUGUUGGAGGCGGUUUUCGGGCGGGUUGACGGGCCUGGGAGUUGCUGUAAGAUGCGCGGCCCUGCUUGCGGGGCGCUCGGUUGGUAGGGGGCGCUGAACGGAGGCGGGGGCAGUCGAGGAGAAGGCCGUCGAGGUGUUGACGGAAUCGAAAUUGGCUGUAAGAUGUUGGGCUCCCUCGGGCACAUUGGUGCGGCGGGGUGAGGCGGGGAAGGCGCUGAGGCCGGACCCGGGGAUCUUUGACAGUGUGCGCAGGUGACUUGUGCGGGCGUCUGGCGGGUGGACGGUUGUCCAUUCGCAGAGGUUCGUAACAGAGCAACAAGUCAAUUCAAUGCAUGCAAAUGCAGCGAGUAAUUUGGUGCCUGGACGAUCUUUGCACUCAAAGCAUUGGAUCUUCGGAUCCAGAAGUUUUAAGUGAAGAGUUUGAUCCUGGCUCAGAGUGAACGCUGGCGGCAGGCCUAACACAUGCAAGUCGAGCGGCAGCGGGUCGAGGGCAACCUUGAUGCCGGCGAGCGGCGGACGGGUGAGGAAUGCAUCGGAAUCUGCCUCGUCGUGGGGGAUAACCUAGGGAAACUUAGGCUAAUACCGCAUACGACCUACGGGUGAAAGCGGGGGACCUUCGGGCCUCGCGCGAUGAGAUGAGCCGAUGUCGGAUUAGCUAGUUGGCGGGGUAAAGGCCCACCAAGGCGACGAUCCGUAGCUGGUCUGAGAGGAUGAUCAGCCACACUGGAACUGAGACACGGUCCAGACUCCUACGGGAGGCAGCAGUGGGGAAUAUUGGACAAUGGGCGCAAGCCUGAUCCAGCCAUGCCGCGUGUGUGAAGAAGGCCUUCGGGUUGUAAAGCACUUUUGUCCGGAAAGAAAUCCUGGCGGCUAAUACCCGUUGGGGCUGACGGUACCGGAAGAAUAAGCACCGGCUAACUUCGUGCCAGCAGCCGCGGUAAUACGAAGGGUGCAAGCGUUACUCGGAAUUACUGGGCGUAAAGCGUGCGUAGGUGGUUUGUUAAGUCCGAUGUGAAAGCCCUGGGCUCAACCUGGGAAUGGCAUUGGAAACUGGCAGGCUAGAGUGCGGUAGAGGGUAGCGGAAUUCCCGGUGUAGCAGUGAAAUGCGUAGAUAUCGGGAGGAACACCCGUGGCGAAGGCGGCUACCUGGACCAGCACUGACACUGAGGCACGAAAGCGUGGGGAGCAAACAGGAUUAGAUACCCUGGUAGUCCACGCCCUAAACGAUGCGAACUGGAUGUUGGGAGCAACUAGGCUCUCAGUAUCGAAGCUAACGCGUUAAGUUCGCCGCCUGGGAAGUACGGUCGCAAGACUGAAACUCAAAGGAAUUGACGGGGGCCCGCACAAGCGGUGGAGUAUGUGGUUUAAUUCGAUGCAACGCGCAGAACCUUACCUGGCCUUGACAUCCACGGAACCUUCCAGAGAUGGGAGGGUGCCUUCGGGAACCGUGAGACAGGUGCUGCAUGGCUGUCGUCAGCUCGUGUCGUGAGAUGUUGGGUUAAGUCCCGCAACGAGCGCAACCCUUGUCCUUAGUUGCCAGCACGUAAAGGUGGGAACUCUAAGGAGACCGCCGGCGACAAGCCGGAGGAAGGUGGGGAUGACGUCAAGUCAUCAUGGCCCUUACGGCCAGGGCUACACACGUACUACAAUGGUGGGGACAGAGGGCUGCGACGCCGCGAGGCCGAGCCAAUCCCAGAAACCCCAUCUCAGUCCGGAUUGGAGUCUGCAACUCGACUCCAUGAAGUCGGAAUCGCUAGUAAUCGCAGAUCAGCAUUGCUGCGGUGAAUACGUUCCCGGGCCUUGUACACACCGCCCGUCACACCAUGGGAGUCUGUUGCACCAGAAGCAGGUAGCUUAACCUUCGGGAGGGCGCUUGCCACGGUGUGGCCGAUGACUGGGGUGAAGUCGUAACAAGGUAGCCGUAUCGGAAGGUGCGGCUGGAUCACCUCCUUUC